GAUGAACGCUGGCGGCGUGCCUAAUACAUGCAAGUCGAGCGAACAGACGAGGAGCUUGCUCCUCUGACGUUAGCGGCGGACGGGUGAGUAACACGUGGAUAACCUACCUAUAAGACUGGGAUAACUUCGGGAAACCGGAGCUAAUACCGGAUAAUAUAUUGAACCGCAUGGUUCAAUAGUGAAAGACGGUUUUGCUGUCACUUAUAGAUGGAUCCGCGCCGCAUUAGCUAGUUGGUAAGUAACGGCUUACCAAGGCAACGAUGCGUAGCCGACCUGAGAGGGUGAUCGGCCACACUGGAACUGAGACACGGUCCAGACUCCUACGGGAGGCAGCAGUAGGGAAUCUUCCGCAAUGGGCGAAAGCUUGACGGAGCAACGCCGCGUGAGUGAUGAAGGUCUUCGGAUCGUAAAACUCUGUUAUUAGGGAAGAACAAAUGUGUAAGUAACUAUGCACGUCUUGACGGUACCUAAUCAGAAAGCCACGGCUAACUACGUG
rnacentral:rRNA from 1 species